rnacentral:misc_RNA from 1 species
GAUGAAGAACGCAGCGAAAUGCGAUACGUAAUGUGAAUUGCAGAAUUCAGUGAAUCAUCGAGUCUUUGAACGCACAUUGCGCCCCCUGGUAUUCCGGAGGGCAUGUCUGUCCGAGCGUCAUUAGUCCAAUCUCAAGCCCGGCUUGUCGUUGGGUCGCACCGCCCGGGGCGGUGGACCCGAAAUAUAAUGACGGGGUCUAGCGGACCGUGGGCGCAGCGAGCUUUUACAGCACGCGUCCCGGCGUCAUCUAGACGCGUCUCCAACCAUACUCUCUGUAGGUUGACCUCGGAUCAGACAGGAUUACCCGCUGAACUUAAGCAUAUCAAUAAGCGGAGGA